rnacentral:ncRNA from 1 species
AACGGAGGACGACCUCCGCCCAUCACGGGACUUCAUCCAGGACGGCCUGG